AUAUUAUGAGAAUAUGUAAAUAAAAAAUAAACAAAUAUUAAGGCAAACAAGCGUCAUUUGGAAGGUGAAACACAAAGCAGAAAUAAUGUUAAGUCAAAAGAAUAAUGCCAAGAUUAUAUAAACACACAUUCAGUACAAUAGAAAUGACGUAAUACAAAAGGGGAUUAAAUUUGAGUUACCUGCAUUCAUGUCAAACCAUGA
rnacentral:misc_RNA from 1 species